GACAUUGUGGCUGAGCGGUAGAGCGCUUGGCUUCCAAACCGAGGAGUCUCGGGUUCAAAUCCUGGUGAAGACU
rnacentral:tRNA from 1 species